UUUGAGAAGAUAUUUAGAAUUUAAAAAAGUAAAAAGAUUUUUUCGUCGCUCGACUUCAGUUCUCCAGCCGCCUCUCUUUCGCUCCCUGUCACAGCCUAACAGCGAGCGCGAUUCCAGUCGAGGACACUUGCACCAACCGCCUCUCCUUCCUUCGCCGCCACAACCUAGUCGCAAUCUCUCCCUCUUAUCCAUCAUCAGAUCGCGUCGUUUGCCAGUCGCACCCCCUCACUCUGCCGCACCUGUUUCAUCAUCGUCUGCUUGCACGCCACAGCUGCCACCGCCCUACCCUUUGUGCCCUGCCACUGGGGGUUCUUAUUUGGAUCCGAGUUUUGGAGGAAUUUGGGGUCAAAAGUGUGCUACCUGCAUUUGCAAAAGUUUGAUUUUGGUAGUUUUGGCAUAGUUUUGGUUAGGCAAUUAAAUUGAAUUUUGGAACUGAUUUUAGACGAAGCCACUUUUUCGGUAAAUUAAAGACAUUUGGAUAAUUGUGGUUAAAUUGGAAUUAAACCCCAAAGGUUUAAUUUAAUUUUUUGUUUGACUUAAUUAUUCUAGGUCUUGAUUUAAUGUUGUGUUCGGCAAAGAGAAGUUAAGUUUGUUUGAGUUUGUUUUUGAACCUAAAUUCUAAGGAUUCACUAGAGGUUGUGAUUUCCUUUGGGACUUCACCAGAGGUUAAUGAUCUCCUUCGAGAUUUCACUAGAGGUUAGUGUUUCCUUCGGGGCUUUCCAAAGGUUUGUGUCCCCUUCGAGAUUCACCAGAGGUUGUGAUUUCCUUCGGGACUUCACCAUAGGUUAGUGAUCUUCUUCGAGUUUCACCAGAGGUUUGUGGGUACAUCUCACCUACGAUAAGGUGGGUUCAAUUGUCCACUAGAUGGCCAUCCACGAAAAGUAGAGGUUUAUGCAUGUCCCACUAGAAAGUAGCAUUUAUUGGAUAUAGAUGUUUAGCCUAACCCUGGUAGUAGAGUUACUUACUGAGUAUUUUAUACUCGUUCUAUCUUAUGUUUCCUUUUCAGGUAAAGGUAACAACACGCUAGCGCAUGACAAGCAGAAUCCGUGAUCAAACCACUGGGACCAGUCAAUGUUUCUGCCUAUCUUUUUCUAUAUCUUCAUGAUUUUAAAUUAGUUAAUUGUUAAAUUUAGAGGUCUUUUAGUUUUAUUUUCUUGUUGCACAUCGGGUGUUUUGGAUGAUGUUUUAUUGUGAUGUUUACUUUAUUUCAUUUUUUUAAGUUACCCUGUUAAAUGAAUUUCAUUUAAUUACUUUUAGUAAAGUCUUAAUAUUUGUCUUUUAUCAAA